CUGACCAUGCUGCUGAGCAUGUACUACCCUGGCUGGUUCAAAAAAGCCAAGACACUGCUAAAUUCUGACACUGUCAAACAACACGUUGAAUUUUCUUCAGUGGUCUUGAAUCUCUGCGAUUACAUCUUUAACACAUCAAUAACUUAGCCUCUGGUUAGCAAGGAUUGCUGAAGCAUGACUAAUCAGCAGAUGAAAGUGUCUUUGUGGGGAUUAGCUUUAAUGAAAAGAAAAGGGAUAGUUAUUUUGGUAGUUUGAAAUCUUCCAUAAAUCAAAGCGAAUACUGACAAAGCAGGUUCAUACGGUAAGAAUGAAGCUAUUGUGAAUAAAAUUAAGGGAACAGCUACUUUUAUAUAAAUCACAGGCCAGGACAGCAUUUGUAAGAGAGUUCAUGGGAACAAGAUCAUUUAACUUCUUCAGGUGUAAAUAAGUGAUAUUUAGCUAAUGUUAAAGCAUCCUAAAGAAAAACAGAUGGAUGACGGUCCUUAGUAGGGAGUUUCUUUUUAGGUUUUAACUUUCUUUGCACACAAAUAAAUACCCAGCUAGUUUAUCUUGACCACUUUAUUUUGUGCACAGACAAACAUCCAACAUAUAACUUGGUCUUUACCACUGCCAGAGAGGAAGACUUAGGAAGAGAAACUUCAGUCUUGAUCCCUGAUAGGAGUUGUUUCUGUCUGGUGUAAAUUAGAAAGUUUCUUCAUCUUCUAUAUUGUGGCUUGGAGGAGCUCACAGGCACCAUGGGGAUAGUGGCAAAUAGAAAGAAAUGCAAACUCCACACCUUCUGGGGAGUAUUCAUGUUCAGAUCCUGAACUUUAGACCUCCUAUAUAGUCCUGUGUGGUUAAUGUGCUGUAUAAAUAAUCACCUCUUGAGCUCCUCCAGGCAGUGACUCAGAGCACCCACGCUGAAAGCUUAACCCUCUCCAAUGACUCUAUGGGAAGACUGGAGUUAGACUGUACGUGUUGAGGGCCAGAAGGAAGAAGGUGAGGACAGUUGUUCCUGGUGAAUUUCCCUCUUGGCUGCUGCUGUGUCUUGGGGCCAAGAUGCUCCCAGGGCUGGUGGCAGGAACACCACAGCCAUCUGAUGAGUUUGAAAGACCGUUCCUUUCCUCACUCAGGGCUACUGCAUCUUCUUUAAUCUAUCUGGACCCUCCACUCCACUGUGGAGGACUGUUCACAACUCAUGGCAUACUAGACCAGGCCAACACGGAUUCCAGCACAUCAGGCACCUCCAAGACCUGCCUGUUGAGGGGCAGUGAGUACCAGGAGCCACCUCAAAGUCUGUGGAGCAUCAGCCCCAUCUUUGACUGCAAGCUGGAGAGAGCUGCUUGGUGGUGCAUCUCGUGCUAUUCUGCAUGUGUUACAGCUGAAGCACAUGUGGUGCCACUCAUGCUUUGAAAACAUGCCUUUGUGAGGGGAGAGGUGUGCUGGUCACCUCUGAGGACAAUGGCUCACUUUGCUGUGACUGACAGCCCAGUGUACCAAUAAAAGCCUGAUCUCAAGUA